AACCUUGAAUGUGUCCAAACUUUUGACGGCUACUGUAUAUACUAGGUGGUGUCAGAGGGAGGCCCCAAAGAUUGUCCAAGACUCCAGUCACCCAAGUCAUAGACUGUUCUCUCUCCUACCACACGGCAAUCGGUACCGGAGCACCAAAUCUAGGUCCAAGAGGCCCCUUAACAGCUUCUACCCCCAAGCCAUAUGACUGCUGCGCAAUUAAUCAAAUGGCCACCCGGACUAUUUAUAUUGACCCCCCCUCCUGUUUUUACAUUGCUGCUGCCAACUGUUUAUUAUCUAUGCAUAGUCACCUGCAUGCACAAAUUACAUCGACUAACCAGUACCCUCGCACAUUGACUCGGUAACCCCUGUAUAAAGCAUCUUGUUAUUGUUAUUUUAUUUUUUACUUCAGUUUAUUUAGUAAAUCUUUUCUUAACCUUAUUUCUUGACCUGCAUUGUUGGAUCAGGGCUUGUAAGUAAGCAUUUCACUGUAAGUUCUACACCUGUUGUUGUCGGCACGUGACAAAUACAAUUUGAUUUGAUGUACAUCUUCAAUCAGCUGAUAUCUCAAAGUGCUGUAAAGAAACCCAGCCUAAAACCCCAAACAGCAAGCAAUGCAGGUGUAGAAGCACGGUGGCUAUGAAAAACUCCCUAGAAAGGCCAAAACCUAGGAAGAAACCUAGAGAGGAACCAGGCUAUGAGGGCUGGCCAGUCCUCUUCUGGCUGUGCCGGGUGGAAAUUUUUAACAGAACAUGGCCAAGAUGUUCAAAUGUUCAUAAAUUACCAGCAUGGUUAAAUAAUAAUAAUCACAGUAGUUGUCAAGGGUGCAGAAAGUCAACACCUCAGGAGUAAAUGUCAGUUGGCUUUUCAUAGCCGAUCAUUAAGAGUAUCUCUACCGCUCUUGCUGUCACUAGAGAGUUGAAAACAGCAAGUCUGGGACAGGUAGCACGUCCGGUGAACAGGUCAGGGUUCCAUAGCCGCAGGCAGAACAGUUGAAACUGCAGCAGCAGCACGGCCAGGUGGACUGGGGACAGCAAGGAGUUAUCAUGCCAGGUAGUCCUGAGGCAUGGUCCUAGGGCUCAGGUCCUCCGAGAGAGAGAAAGAAGAGAGAGAGAGAGAGAAUUAGAGAGAGCAUACUUAAAUUCAUACAAGACACUAGAAAAGACACAAGAAGUACUCCAGAUAUAACAGACUGAUCCUAGCCCCCCGACACAUAAACUACUGAAGCAUUAAUACUGGAGGCUGAGACAGGUAGGGGUCUGGAGACACUGUGGCCCCAUCCGAUGAUACCCCCGGACAGGGCCAAACAGGCAGGAUAUAACCCCACCCACUUUGCCAAAGCACAGCCCCCACACCACUAGAGGGAUAUCUUCAACCACCAACUUACCAUCCUGAGACAAGGCAGAGUAUAGCCCACAAAGAUCUCUGCAUACGGUACAACCCAGACGGGGUGCCAACCCAGACAGGAAGAUCACGUCAGUGACUCAACCCACUCAAGUGACGCACCCCUCCUAGGGACGGCAUGGAAGAGCACCAGUAAGCCAGUGACUCAGCCCCUGUAAUAGGGUUAGAGUCAGAGAAGGGAACCGGCCAGGCAGAGACAGCAAGGGCAGUUAGUUGCUCCAGAGCCUUUCCGUUCACCUUCACACUCCUGGGCCAGACUACACUCAAUCAUAGGACCUACUGAAGAGCUGAAUCUUCAGUAAAGACUUAAAGGUUGAGACCGAGUCUGUGUCUCUCACAUGUGUAGGCAGACCAUUCCAUAAAAAAUUGAGCUCUAUAGGAGAAAGCCCUACCUCCAGCUGUUUGCUUAGAAAUUCUAGGGACAAUUAGGAGGCCUGCGUCUUGUGAACGUAGCGUACGUGUAGGUAUGUACGACAGGAAAGAUUAGGUAGGAGCAAGCCCAUGUAAUGCUUUGUGGGUUAGCAGUAAAACCUUGAAAUCAGCCCUUGCCUUAACAGGAAGCCAGUGUAGGGAGGCUAGCACUGGAGUAAUAUGAUCAAAUAUUUUGGUUCUAGUCAGGAUUCUAGCAGCCGUAUUUAGCACUAACUGAAGAUUAUUUAGUGCUUUAUCCAGGUAGCCGGAAAGUAGAGAAUUGCAGUAGUCUAACCUAGAAGUGACAAAAGCAUGGAUACAUUUUUCUGCAUCAUUUUUGGACAGAAAAUGUCUGAUAUUUGCAAUGUUACGUAGAUGGAAAAAAGCUGUCCUUGAAACAGUCUUGAUAUGUUCGUCAAAAGAGAGAUCAGGGUCCAGAGUAACGCCGGAGGACCUUCACAGCUUUAUUUGAAAUGACUGUACAACCAUCAAGAUGAAUUGUCACAUUCAACAGAAGAUCUCUUUGUUUCUUGGGACCUAGAACAAGCAUCUCUGUUUUGUCCGAGUUUAAAAGUAGAACGUUUUGCAGCCAUCCACUUCCUUUUGUCUGAAACACAGGCUUCUAGCAAGGGCAAUUUUGGGGCUUCACCAUGUUUCAUUGAAAUGUACAGCUGUGUGUCAUCCGCAUAGCAGUGAAAGUUAGCAUUAUGUUUUCGAAUUACAUCCCCAAGAUGUAAAAUAUAUAGUGAAAACAAUAGUGGUCCUAAAACGGAACCUCGAGGAACACCGAAAUUUACAGUUGAUUUGUCAGAGGACAAACCAUUCACAGAGACAAACUGAUAUCUUUCCGACAGAUAAGAUCUAGCCAGGCCAGAACUUGUCCGUGUAGACCGAUUUGGGUUUCCAAUCUCUCCAAAAGAAUGUGGUGAUCGAUGGUAUCAAAAGCAGCACUAAGGUCCAGGAGCACGAGAACAGAUGCAAAGCCUCGGUCUGACGCCAUUAAAAGACCUAGCCAGGCCCCCUGUCACUCAAGGAGCGCAUUUGAUGUCCCUCAACCACGAGACACUUGUUUUCAGUCUGCUUGGUCAAUGCAGCACAUGCAACAAUGUUGAUGACAAUGAUGCUGUUUUCACUUUGCUUCUUUAUAUAAAUCCACUAGCGUUCUAUAAUGACACUAUUAGUUUGUGUUUCUUAAAUCAGCAAACAGCUAGUUUGUCUUUUCUUAGCAAGUUUCCCUAAAUCUUGUGAGAUGCUAAUGCUAAUAGCUUGCAACCUAGCUAAUAAAUGUACUGAUAAGAGCAAACGUAGCUAGCUAAUACAGCCUGAUAAUACCGGUGGUGGUGUAAACCUAAAUCAGCAUGUUGUUUGUGCAACCGUGUCUUCUAAAUCAACAUAUUCUUGCUUUGCAUAUUCCUCUUUAUCUACAUGAAGUAUCUAAGAGAAAACAUGCAAUGUAGCCAAAGCUUAUAGUGUCCUCUAGGAAACACUUAUCGACACUUUAGUUCCUACCCUGUCACAAUAACUCCUCCUUGCAUUUUAAUUCGUUGUCAUCUCAAACAACUCUGUAUUCAAAGUGCCCACUAUUAUAUUCUAACUAUAUAAUAAGAAUAGUCAUUAUAUUUCCAUUUUUUCCAACAGUUUUGCUCUAAUUUGCAAGUCAAAUCGCAAUUGCAACAUUUGGUUAAAAAUAAGUGCUAGAUUGUUUGCCCAUAUCGUACAGCCCUACGUGGCAGUGUGGAAAUUAUCUCAAUUGAGCAGUGGUGUAAAGUAAUUAAGUAAAAAUACUUUAACGUACUACUUAAGUCUUUUUUUUGUUAUCUGUACUUUACUUUACUAUUUUUCUUUUUGAUAACUUUUACUUCACUACAUUCCUAAUGAAAAUACUAUACUAUUUACUCCACACAUUUUCCCUGACACCUAAAAGUACUCGUUACAUUUUGAAUGCUUAGCAGGACAGGAAAAUGGUCCAAUUCACGCACUUGUCAAGAGGACAUCCCUGGUCAUCUACUUCCUCUGAUCUGGAGGACUCACUAAACACAAAUGCUUUGUUUGUAAAUUAUGUCUGAGUGUUGGAGUGUGUCAUCCGUAAAUAAAAAAUAAAAUGGUGCCA